AUUGAACGCUGGCGGCAUGCCUAACACAUGCAAGUCGAGCGGAGUGGCGGACGGGUGAGUAAUGCCUAGGAAUCUGCCUGGUAGUGGGGGAUAACGUCCGGAAAGGGGAGCUAAUACCGCAUACUAUCAGAUGAGCCUAGGUCGGAUUAGCUAGUUGGUGGGGUAAAGGCCUACCAAGGCGACGAUCCGUAACUGGUUUGAGAGGAUGAUCAGUCACACUGGGACGGAGACACGGUCCAGACUCCUACGGGAGGCAGCAGUGGGGAAUAUUGGACAAUGGGCGAAAGCCUGAUCCAGCCAUCCCGCGUGUGUGAUGAAGGUCUUCGGGUUGUAAAGCACUUUAGGGAGGGAGGCGUUACCAACAGAAUAAGCACCGGCUAACUUCGUGCCAGCAGCCGCGGUAAUAC
rnacentral:rRNA from 1 species